rnacentral:tRNA from 1 species
GGGUAUAGUUCAGUGGUAGAGUGCAUGCUUAGCGUGCAUGAAGUCCUGGGUUCAAUCCCCUGUACCUCCA